AUGAAACUGCUCAGCAGAUCAAUAAAGCAAAGGAAAAGUAAAUUUGCCCACCUGUAAUAUGACAUGGAUGUUACUGGUAUGACACUCAAGAAUCCAUGCUGCAAUUCCUCCCUAAAACAUUUUUUAAUUUCUUCUUCCUCCAUCAGACACCCAUUUUAACGAUUUGAAAUUUGAUGUCGACGGUUUUUGAUACAGGGCGUUACCAUGAUGAAAUUUUCACAUUGGACAGGAAGCGCAACUCAAAAAUGUUGUUUAAAAAAUGGCACUUUGUCAUUCAACUGUUUUACGUACAA
rnacentral:misc_RNA from 1 species